GAGGACUUAGCUUAAUUAAAGCGUUUGGUUUGCAUUCAGUAGAUGUAAGAUGAGGUCUUGCAGUCCUUG
rnacentral:tRNA from 1 species